GGGCACAUGGUGUAGUUGGUUAUCACAUCCGCUUAGCAAGAUGCGCUAGUUUGCGGGGGGUGCUGGGUUCAAUUCCCAGUGUGUCCA
rnacentral:tRNA from 1 species